rnacentral:rRNA from 1 species
UACGUAGGGUCCGAGCGUUGUCCGGAGUUACUGGGCGUAAAGCGCGCGCAGGCGGCGGUGCUGGUCCGGCGUGAAAGCCCCCGGCUCAACCGGGGAGGGUCGUCGGGGACCGCACCGCUUGAGGGCGGUAGGGGCUGGUGGAAUGCCUGGUGUAGUGGUGAAAUGCGUAGAGAUCAGGCGGAACACCCGUGGCGAAGGCGGCCAGCUGGGCCGUCCCUGACGCUGAGGCGCGAAGGCGUGGGGAGCGAACGGG